rnacentral:misc_RNA from 1 species
AAAUCUCAACCUCCUUGGUUUCUUCUGGAGAUCAAAGGAGGCUUGGACUUUGGAGGCCUUUGCUGGCAUCUCUCUCCUUUGAAAGGUGGCCAGCUCCUCUUGAAUGAAUUAGCGGGGUCCUCUUUGCCGAUCCUUGACAUGUGAUAAGAUGUUUCCGUGUCUCGGUUUCUGGCUCUGUUGCUUUUGGGACCCGCUUCCAACCGUCUCAACAUCGAGACAAUGUUCGAGCCUGUUGCCCUUCUCGGGAAACGCUCUCGACCCCCACGAAC